CCUACGGGAGGCAGCAGUGGGGAAUAUUGGACAAUGGGCGCAAGCCUGAUCCAGCAAUGCCGCGUGAGUGAUGAAGGCCUUAGGGUUGUAAAGCUCUUUUUACCCGAGAUGAUAAUGACAGUAUCGGGAGAAUAAGCUCCGGCUAACUCCGUGCCAGCAGCCGCGGUAAUACGGAGGGAGCUAGCGUUGUUCGGAAUUACUGGGCGUAAAGCGCACGUAGGCGGUUAUUCAAGUCAGAGGUGAAAGCCCAGUGCUCAACACUGGAACUGCCUUUGAAACUAGAUAGCUUGAAUCCAGGAGAGGUGAGUGGAAUUCCGAGUGUAGAGGUGAAAUUCGUAGAUAUUCGGAAGAACACCAGUGGCGAAGGCGGCUCACUGGACUGGUAUUGACGCUGAGGUGCGAAAGCGUGGGAGCAAACAGGAUUAGAUACCCUGGUAGUCCACGCCGUAAACGAUGACUACUAGCUGUCAGGACACAUGUGUUUGGUUGGUCGCGAGCUACG
rnacentral:rRNA from 1 species